UGUAACAAUCAUUUCAAAGACGCUAAACAUUGCAUGCUCCCAAGGCAGUAAAACAAUGACAGUAAAAAGCAUCCAAACUGGGACUGCCAAAAAUGUCUUGGCAUAACACAUUUCCAAGAUGCCCUUAAAAAUUAAAAUCAGGAAAAACUGCUCUUUUUGGUGUAUGUGACGCAGCAUGAAUCAUCAGCCCUUCCUCUGUGUGUAAAAAAAUUUAGAUGAAAAUGCAGCAUGGAGGAAUAAAAAUAAAAAGCUCUGAAUACAGGAGAGAAAACAUGUGUCCCCCAUUCUGAGGAUUUUGAGAGAGGUAAAUAUUAUUUCAGGGUUGGGUUUUUUUUAAAUAUCUUAGGUAUAACUUCUCCAUUUUCUACUAUUUUUUUUCCUUUGAUCUCUUCUUCCAGUGUAUCAGUCUCUGUCAGCAACAAUAACUUCCUCCAGAGACACACGCGGUAAGAGUCGUCCAGUAACAUGAGCCCUUUCAAAAGGUACUGGAUUGAUCCCAUAUUUUGUUUGAGGGCUGUAGCUUGGUUGUUUUGGACAGUAAUUGACUGAAGAAUAUGUUAGUUUCUGUAUUGUUUUCAAAGAGAUCAAUUUUUCUGUUUUAUGAAUCCUAUAAUGACUGAUCUCAGGAAUUUUUUUUUUAUGUCUUUUUUUCUAUUAAGGGAGGCAAAUAGAGGUUUCUUUAAAUGAAAGGAUGUAUUUUAACAUAUGGGAUUACAGUGUGUCCAAAAUGUAUACUAACUUCUUAAGAUAGGAUCUACACUACAGUUAAGACAUUUGUCCCCUAACCUGGCUACAAUACAGAUUCGUUGUAUAGUAGAGACGCAAUGCAUCCAAAGCUUUAGCCUGAUUACAGAACAUCCCCAUUACAAAUUGUGAUGGUUAACAUAUUUCUUUAAUAUCCAGUUAAGUGUAUAUGGUAUGUGACAUAAUUCCUGUUCAGAGGAACUUUGGGAGAGAGGGAGAAGCAGGGGAGAGGAGGGAAGGAAGGAGGAAUAUGUAGAAUAAGGCUGAGGUUGUUUGCGUAGUACAGUUGCAGUACCCUAGUUCUUAAGUUUUGGUUUAUUUAGAAUAACUUUUACAAAUGUUUAAAGGGAUAUAAUUAGAGAAUCAGUUUAGAGAUUGUGGGGGAAAAAGGUGGAUAUUGAGGCGGGAGGUUGAAUGGCAUACAGGAGCGAGGUGCUUGUUCUUUCUACAUAUAGGUAGCAAUCUGACAGAAGACAUGGGGAUUCUUAAAUCUCAAAAUAGUGAUUUUGUGUUUUUGUGUUUGGGAAGUGCUUAAAAGUUAAAUUCUUUGUGCGUCCUUUGGCAACCUCUGCUAAAUACAGGACACUGCCUGUAUUUAGGCAUUGUACUUUGUCAUCUAACGAUUCCGUUAUAUUAGAAUCAUCUUCAUUUUGGCAGUCCUUCUCCAACAGCCCAAAAAGACUAGCUCCUAAAAUGUCAUAAUGGAGGAUUAACCCAAUACCCCAUGCACAGCUGGAUUGACACUGAGAGCAGAGCUGCUCAUUUGCACACUCCCCCAUGCACAAGUUGCCCAUGACCCCAGCAGGCAGAGUGGAACCCUACUGGAUCACUCUACCUCCACGGCCUUGUCAAACAUUUUGGACUUAAGCCUUCACUUCUGUAAAGUGCUGGAGCCCCUCUAUGCUGCUCUUUGAGAUACUUCUGACCAAAUGAAGGGGAAAUGCUCCUGGAUUCGAGAUAAUCCAGACUCCAAUGCUGGGAUGAUUGAUCACUACAAAACAGAGCUUUUUGAAUAGGUGUGGAUUUAAAGAGGAAAAUGUAAUAGAAAAGAAGCUUCCAGGGCUCCAACAAUAACUUGCAAAACCCCAAACUCCCUGAUUAAAAAUUUACAAUCAUACAGUCUUGUUACAUAACAUUUCCUCAUUUUUCUUGUAACAGUUGCAUACAUCCGCACUAGUUUAAUACAUACAAGUAUAAUUGAGUGCCACCAAAACAUUAAUUUGAUGUGCUCCCUAAAAAGUUAGAGAGGGGUAAGGGUUUGUUUUUAUAUUCCUGUGCUUAAAUGAGUUGGAGAAACUAUUUUUUAAUAUGAAGCCCUAUAAGAGGAGCAGAAGGGGCUCCUUCAGUGGCUGAAGCAGCAAUGCCCUUUGAUGACAACAUGAGGAUGUUCUGAAUCCCAACAGUGAAUGGUUAACAGUAGCAAGCCAUUGACUGGAUGACACAUUCUUAACUAAUCAUAAAUGGGGAAAUCAUCAUCCAGUGGGGCCCCCCCACAUUAAUCUGUUUUUGGUCCAAUCCUGUUUAAUCUCUCUAUCAACCCAACUUCGAAGAACACUUAUCAUUCCUGGUAAAACAAACAGUGGAGGAGUAAAUGACAGUUCAGUUCUACAGCAUAGUCUGUUGAACAACAUGCACUUUAAUACAAUUAAAUGUAAGGUUUAUGUAUAGCAGAAACCAAAAUGUAGGUCACACAAGGUAGAGGAGAGUAUUUUGGAAGGCAGUGACGCCACAGAGCUUUGUGUUAUGUGGAUAACGAGUUGAACAUGAGCUGACAGUAUGAUGCAACUGGUUAAGAGAGCAAAGGCAAUAAACUUAUUUGUAUAAGUAGGGGAAUACUGAGUAGGGAGAUGUUACCACCACUGCAUGCAUCAGUGCUGAGACAGUUACUGGAAGACUGUGUCCACUUCUCAUGUCUGCACUUUAAAGAAGUUUACUCCUAGAGAAGGGCUCACAAUCUAAUUAGCUUAACAAAGAAAAGGUUAAAGAGGUGACUUGAUCAUGAUCGAAGGCUAUAUCUACACUACCACCUAUAUCGGCAAAAUGUAUGUCACUCGGGGGUGAAUAUUUCACCCCCCGCGUGACAGAAGUUACACUAACAUAAGUGCUAAUGUGCACAGCGCUAUGUUGGUGGGAGAGCUUCUCUUACUGACAUAAUUUAUGCCACUCCCAGGGGUGGUUUUUUUAUGCUGAUCAGAGAGCUCUCUUUAAUUGUCAUAGAAUGUCUUCACCACACGUUGUACAGCUGCGCUGCUAUAGCACUAAGUGUAGACCUGGCCUAGGUAUCUACAUGGGUGGGAAAGAUUGACAGUAAGAGAUUUCUUUAAUCUAGCAGACAAUUGUCUAAGAUCCAGCAACUAGAUCUGAAACUAGAUAAGUUCAUACUAGAAAUCAGACUUCUUAUAGGAGAGUAAUUAAACAUUGGAACGUCUUAGAAGAAGAGGAUGGCUUCUCUAUCACAUGAUGUCUUUCUAAAAGAUAUGCUCUAGCUCAUCUAGAAGUUAUGGACUUAAUACAGGAAUCAUCUGGUGAUGGAUUUGUCAUGCAGGAGUCAGACAACAUUGUUAUGGUCUCUUCUGGCCUUAAUCUUUUUUUCCUGAAGAAUGAGAAGGCAGUAGUAAAAAGAUAGUGAUGUAUCAUACUGCCAUAUAAUAGCCCAAUCUGACCCUUUGACUAUAGUAGCCUGUAUUACUAUGAAGACAUUAUAUAGUGUGGGAAAGUUUACAUGGUGUUCUAGAAAUGCACUAAGAUAGCCCUUUCCAUGAAGAUGCUAUAUUCUGUCAUACAAGAAAUCUGUCCUGGGAGAGGAGAAUGGAUGGCUAUUUGGUGGAAGUAGGCUAGUGGCUCUCAACCUUUCCAGACUACUGUACCCCUUUCAAGAGUCUGAUUUAUCUUGUGUACUGCCAAGUUACACCUCACUUAAACUACUUGCUUAAACAAUCAGACAAAAAUACAAAAGUGUCAUAGCACGACACUUGCUUUUAGUGAAGAAGUACUUGCUUUUUCAUUUUUACCAUAUAAUUAUAAAAUAAAUGGAUUGGAACAAAUAUUUUACUUACAUUUCAGUGUAUGGUAUAUAGAGCAGUCGAAACAAGUCAUCGUCUGCAUGGAAUUUUAGUUUUUACUGCCUUCGCUAGUGCUUUUUAUGUAGCCUGUUGUAAAAUUAGGCAAAUAUCUAGACGAGUUGAUGAACCCCCUGGAAGACCUCUGUGUACCCACAGGGAUACAUGUAUUCCUGGUUGAGAACCGCUGAUGUAGGCCAUAGAAUUUCCCCAAAAUAAUUCCUAGACCAGAUCUUUUAGAAAAACAUCCAAUCUUGAUUUAAAAAGUCAGUGAUGGAGAAUCCACCAUAACCCUUGGUAAGUUGUUCCAAUGAUGAAUUAUUCUCCCUGUUAAAAACUUAUGCCUUAUUUCCAUGCAUAAUGCUAUGAAUCAUGCAGGUUAUUGGUAUUAAUAGAUUCCUGCUAUAAAUCCAGUUUGAUGAUCUCUAACUAAUCCCUCAGAAAGAAUGGGAUGCUUUCCAAACAGCACUAAUGUUACAAUCACAAUACUGCUUUUCAGUUCACAAGUAUGCAAAUAUCAAAGUCUGCUUUGGAUUGGAAGCCAUGAAUUGGAUUGCUGUGAAAAACCAAGUGACUAGGACAUUCAUAAUUUUUUCAUAGGGGGGGCAGGGGAAGUUAAAUUUUAUUUCAUAGAAUAUCAGGGUUGGAAGGGACUUCAGGAGGUCAUUUAGUCCAACCCCCUGCUCAAAGCAGGACCAAGCCCCAAUUUUUGCCCCAGCUCCCUAAAUGGACUCCUCAAGGAUUGUGCUCACAACCCUGGGUUUAGCAGGCCAAUGCUCAAACCAGUGUGCUAUCCCUCUGCCCCUGCAGACAGAGCAGGUUGGAAAGUACCAUUGCUUUCUGUUGCCACUUUGAAAACCAAAAUGUCUCUCUUAUUUGGGCUUCAGUUCUCCUCUGACUGAGGCCAGGGUUGCUGUGGAGGUGGCCUCUUGAACAUUUAAGGAAACUUUCCGAGGAGCCUUCACUCAGGCUCUAGCUUCACACAUGCAGAUCAGCAAGUUUAAUAAACUCAUUUGCAGACAUCUUUUUGAAAUGCCCAGCCAUAAUAUUACAGCAAGCGUCAAACUGAUUCCUGCUUUAAUUCACUAAAGCAUAGUUUGCGCUAUCUGCUCUACAAUAUGUAGGGGAGGCUGCUUCUCUAAGUUUUAGCCACUUAUUUCCCCCAUAUUUCAGCUCCAGCUGUAUGUAGCAAAGGUGGGACCAGCUGCUUUUAUUCAACUGAAUUGUUGUUCCUCAUUUGAAGACUGUUUACUUGGGAUUUUAAUUUAUAUUAUUUCCCUUACAUGUUCGUUAAGAUACUUAUUAGCCUUCAACUGCACAUGCUCAUCAGAGGUUCCUGAAUCCAUCCCAGAUGAAGAUGGCGCUGUUUCAAAUGGAUCUAUGUUGUGGCUGGCUGAAGAGGCUGAACAAGCCUCUGUUCUGGAGCCUGUCCACCUCACUCCCUGCUCAGCUAUGGAUGGAUGUGAAGUGGCGUGAGGCUCUCCCAGCUGGGAAAAAAAGAGCCUUAGCUUGAAGGUCCCACAAGAGGAGAAUCGGCAUUUAUGUUUACGCAGCUUUUCACGUCUAAUUGGUUUUCCUCUGGAACCCUAAACUGAUUAUCAGCAAGAUUUCCAGCAGCAAAAUAGCCAUUCCCACCUAACCAUUCCAUCCUUUCCCCUCCUUCAACAAGCCACUGAAAGAUGGGGAGACAGAAGGUUCCUUGCGAAUGUGUAUCACCAUUUAUUUUAGUUCAAGAGUCAGGAACUGAACAGAGGACACUGUCAGCGAAAAACAAAAGAAACAACUUUUUUUUUUUACAGGCUUAAUUUUAAAACACUGCGGUUUCAAAUCCUUUUUAAAAAGGAAAUUCAAGUAUCUUAAGCAGGGGGCAGUAAUACAAAAAUCUUUUUUUUUUGGUUGGUUUUUUAGUUUUUCUAAAAAAAUUCUACAUUUCCUGCACCCUUUUUGCUUUGGUAAGGCCAAGCCAUGGAUACAAACUGGUACGCAACAUAAAAAUGACCCCCACCCCAAAUUACAGGCUCCAAGAAUAAAAGGAUCCACUCUCCAGAGACAAAGUGUCACGGCUCAGAACUGUCACUUAGCAUACUAUGUCUCCGGCUUUAAAAGAAUUUAUUUCUUUAUUUUAAGUCACUGAAGUCCUGGCAUUCCCAAACACCUCCUUGGUAGCAGCUGUUUCAACAUGUU